rnacentral:rRNA from 1 species
UACGUAGGGGCUAGCGUUGUCCGGAAUCAUUGGGCGUAAAGAGCGCGUAGGCGGCUAGAUAAGUCCGGUGUGAAAGUCACAGGCUCAACCUGUGAAUGCCGCUGGAAACUGUCUGGCUAGAGUCCGGAAGGGGCGAGUGGAAUUCCUGGUGUAGCGGUGGAAUGCGCAGAUAUCAGGAGGAACACCGAUGGCGAAGGCAGAUCUCUGGGCCGUAACUGACGCUGAGGAGCGAAAGCGUGGGGAGCGAACAGG